GGCAUUCGUUCGUUCGGCGGUAGUGUUCCGUUCGAAGUCGGUCGCGGAGAAGUCCUGUGUCAAUCAGGCGCGGUCCCGCCACUGUGUUCAGGAGACUCUUCGAUCGGAAGAUUCCCCUGUCAGCCAGAUCGCCGCCCGCCUUCGUGUAUC
rnacentral:ncRNA from 2 species